rnacentral:rRNA from 1 species
AUUGAACGCUGGCGGCAUGCUUUACACAUGCAAGUCGAACGGUAACAGGCCGCAAGGUGCUGACGAGUGGCGAACGGGUGAGUAAUGCAUCGGAACGUGCCCAGUCGCGGGGGAUAACUACUCGAAAGAGUAGCUAAUACCGCAUACGAGCUAUGGAUGAAAGCGGGGGACCGUAAGGCCUCGCGCGAUUGGAGCGGCCGAUGUCAGAUUAGGUAGUUGGUGGGGUAAAGGCUCACCAAGCCAACGAUCUGUAGCUGGUCUGAGAGGACGACCAGCCACACUGGAACUGAGACACGGCCCAGACUCCUACGGGAGGCAGCAGUGGGGAAUUUUGGACAAUGGGCGCAAGCCUGAUCCAGCAAUGCCGCGUGCAGGAAGAAGGCCUUCGGGUUGUAAACUGCUUUUGUACGGAACGAAACGACUCUGGUUAAUACCCGGAGCUAAUGACGGUACCGUAAGAAUAAGCACCGGCUAACUACGUG